rnacentral:rRNA from 1 species
AGCGAACGCUGGCGGCAGGCCUAACACAUGCAAGUCGAACGAAGUCUUCGGACUUAGUGGCGGACGGGUGAGUAACACGUGGGAACGUGCCUUUAGGUUCGGAAUAACUCAGGGAAACUUGUGCUAAUACCGAAUGUGCCCUUCGGGGAAAAGAUUUAUCGCCUUUAGAGCGGCCCGCGUCUGAUUAGCUAGUUGGUGAGGUAAAGGCUCACCAAGGCGACGAUCAGUAGCUGGUCUGAGAGGAUGAUCAGCCACAUUGGGACUGAGACACGGCCCAAACUCCUACGGGAGGCAGCAGUGGGGAAUCUUGCGCAAUGGGCGAAAGCCUGACGCAGCCAUGCCGCGUGAAUGAUGAAGGUCUUAGGAUUGUAAAAUUCUUUCACCGGGGACGAUAAUGACGGUACCCGGAGAAGAAGCCCCGGCUAACUUCGUGCCAGCCGCCGCAGUAAGAC